UGACCUCAAAUCAGGUAGGAUUACCCGCUGAACUUAAGCAUAUCAAUAAGCGGAGGAAAAGAAACCAACUGGGAUUACCUUAGUAACGGCGAGUGAAGCGGUAAAAGCUCAAAUUUGAAAUCUGGUACUUUCAGUGCCCGAGUUGUAAUUUGUAGAAUUUGUCUUUGAUUAGGUCCUUGUCUAUGUUCCUUGGAACAGGACGUCAUAGAGGGUGAGAAUCCCGUUUGGCGAGGAUACCUUUUCUCUGUAAGACUUUUUCGAAGAGUCGAGUUGUUUGGGAAUGCAGCUCAAAGUGGGUGGUAAAUUCCAUCUAAAGCUAAAUAUUGGCGAGAGACCGAUAGCGAACAAGUACAGUGAUGGAAAGAUGAAAAGAACUUUGAAAAGAGAGUGAAAAAGUACGUGAAAUUGUUGAAAGGGAAGGGCAUUUGAUCAGACAUGGUGUUUUUUGCAUGCACUCGCCUCUCGUGGGCUUGGGCCUCUCAAAAAUUUCACUGGGCCAACAUCAAUUCUGGCAGCAGGAUAAAUCAUUAAGAAUGUAGCUACUUCGGUAGUGUUAUAGCUUUUUGGAAUACUGUUAGCCGGGAUUGAGGACUGCGCUUCGGCAAGGAUGUUGGCAUAAUGGUUAAAUGCCGCCCGUCUUGAAACACGGACCAAGGAGUCUAACGUCUAUGCGAGUGUUUGGGUGUAAAACCCGUACGCGUAAUGAAAGUGAACGUAGGUUGGGGCCUUCGGGUGCACAAUCGACCGACCUUGAUGUUUUCGGAUAGGUUUGAGUAAGAGCAUAGCUGUUGGGACCCGAAGAUGGUGAACUAUGCCUGAAUAGGGUGAAGCCAGAGGAAACUCGUGGUGGAGGCUCGUAGCGGUUCUGACGUGCAAAUCGAUCGUCGAAUUUGGGUAAUAGGGGCGAAAGACUAAUCGAACCAUCUAGUAGCUGGUUCCUGCCGAAGUUUCCCUCAGGAUAGCAGAAACUCGUAUCAGUUUUAUGAGGUAAAGCGAAUGAUUAGCGGUACCGGGGAUGAAAUGUCCUUGACCGAUUCUCAAACUUUAAAUAUGUAAGAAGUCCUUGUUGCUUAAUUGAACGUGGACAUAUGAAUGAAGAGUUUCUAGUGGGCCAUUUUUGGUAAGCAGAACUGGCGAUGCGGGAUGAACCGAACGUGGAGUUAAGGUGCCGGAAUGUACGCUCAUCAGACACCACAAAAGGUGUUAGUUCAUCUAGACAGCCGGACGGUGGCCAUGGAAGUCGGAAUCCGCUAAGGAGUGUGUAACAACUCACCGGCCGAAUGAACUAGCCCUGAAAAUGGAUGGCGCUCAAGCGUAUUACCUAUACUCCACCGCCCAGGGUUAAUAUGAUGCCCUGGCGAGUAGGCAGGCGUGGAGGUCGUGACGAGCCUAGGCAGUGAUGCUGGGUUGAACGGCCUCUAGUGC
rnacentral:ncRNA from 1 species